AUUUAGUUGAUAUAUUAAAUGCUGAUUGAAGUCAGAUCACGUCACAGUCUCAAAAUAAUAAGUUGCAUAUUAAAUUAUAAUUAAAAUUAGUAUUGCAAAAAUUUUUUUUAUAAAUUAAAGUAGAGUACGCAAUAAAUAUAAAGUAAUAAGUAAUAGUAAUAACAAUGGAUAAAUCAAAAAUAGGUAAUUCAGGAAUGGAGAUACCACCAUUACGUAGCCUUGAUGAUUUUAUAUUAGAAUCAGCGCGUUUUCAAAUUCCAAAUUUAAAAGAUCUUGAUAAAUGGGGAAACCGAGUUGUCAAUAAUUUACUUUAUUAUCAGACAAAUUAUUUUUUUAUGUCUGUAGUCAUAUUUUUGAUUGUUGGGAUAAUUCAUCCAGGUAAAAUGCUGUUGGGUAUGUUAUCAAUGGCAAUUGUACUGGCAAUAUUUGCAUAUGUUUCAAGUGAAGGAAGAGCGAUACAUAAUUUUAAAAAACAAAAUCCACUUGCCGGUCUUCUAGUUAUUAUUUGUGGGGGAUGUUUUCUUACAUACACUUUAGGAUCACUUAUUGUAUUUCUCUUUGGUAUUUUAUUACCUUUUUCUGCAACAUUUGUUCACGCAUCAUUGAGAUUGAGAAGUAUUAAAAACAAAGUUGUCAAUAAAAUUGAGGGAAUUGGAUUGAAGCGUACACCCAUGGGAAUAUUCCUCGAACAACUUGGUAUAAAACAAGAACUCUUCACAUAAAUUACUCAACAAAAUAUUUGAAAUCUCAACUAAUUAAUUACAAUAAUACAUUAUUGCUUUAAAAACGUUUACCAAAACAACGAAGUUUAAUUAUAAUGCAGAAAAAAAAUUAAAUAAUUAUACAAAGUGGUAUUUUUAAAAACUAAUAGUAUUGUUAAUCACUAAAAAGUUGAUAAUAUUUUUCAUAACUACUUAAAAUCAGCAUUUACUCUUGAUAAUCUGCUUUAAUAAUUUCCAAACUACAAAUCAAUUAAAAACGAUGUGGCUGGCAUUAAUUUAAAGUUUCAAUCAAUGACGCGAAAACCUUCACUGUAAAAUUUUACAUAAAGCUUCAGCACAUCUAUUAAUAUUAUAAUAAAACAUAGUAAUAUAUUUAUUUAAUGUAUUUAUAUUAAAUUAUAUAUAAUAUAUAUACUUAUUGAUUAUA